rnacentral:tRNA from 1 species
UCCUUGGUGGCUCAGCUGGUAAAGAAUCUGCCUGCAACGCAGGAGACCCAGGUUCAAUCCCUGGGUCAGGAA